CCUACGGGGGGCAGCAGUGGGGAAUAUUGCACAAUGGGGGAAACCCUGAUGCAGCGAAGCCGCGUGAAGGACGAAGUAUUUCGGUAUGUAAACUUCUAUCAGCAGGGAAGAAAAUGACGGUACCUGACUAAGAAGCCCCGGCUAACUACGUGCCAGACGCCGCGGUAAUACGGAGGGGGCAAGCGUUAUCCGGAUUUACUGGGUGUAAAGGGAGCGUAGACGGGAUGGCAAGUCUGGUGGGAAAGGCAGGGGCUCAACCCCUGGACUGCAUUGGAAACUGGCAGGCUGGAGUGAAGGAGAGGUAAGUGGAAUUCCUAGUGUAGCGGUGAAAUGCGUAGAUAUUAGGAGGAACACCAGUGGCGAAGGCGACUUACUGGACUGUAACUGACGUUGAGGCUCGAAAGCGUGGGUAGCAAACAGGAUUAGAUACCCGUGUAGUC
rnacentral:rRNA from 1 species